AUCCACGGACUUCAGUGGAUGAGCCGACUCCGAAAUUGCCAAGUCAGCUCCAGAAGUUGGCGAGUCGACUCCAGGUUAAGACGAGUCGACUCCCAGUCAAGGCAUGCACUUUAAUUCAAAUUUGAAACAGUGGCCGAGUCGUCUCCAGUAAAGCACGAGCCGACUCCUGCAACAGGCGAGUCGACUCCUGAUCGCGCGAGUCGACUCCGAUCCCAACGGUAAUAUUGUCAGGAGGUGC
rnacentral:lncRNA from 1 species